rnacentral:rRNA from 1 species
GAUGAACGCUAGCGGCAGGCCUAACACAUGCAAGUCGAGGGGCAGCAUUUUUGUAACUUGUUACAAGAGAUGGCGACCGGCGCACGGGUGCGUAACGCGUAUGCAACCUACCUAUAACAGGGGGAUAACACUGAGAAAUUGGUACUAAUACCCCAUAUUAUUAUUAAAGGCAUCUUUGAUAAUUAAAAGUUCCGGCGGUUAUAGAUGGGCAUGCGUUGUAUUAGAUAGUUGGAGAGGUAACGGCUCACCAAGUCGACGAUACAUAGGGGGACUGAGAGGUUAACCCCCCACACUGGUACUGAGACACGGACCAGACUCCUACGGGAGGCAGCAGUGAGGAAUAUUGGUCAAUGGACGCAAGUCUGAACCAGCCAUGCCGCGUGCAGGAAGACGGCUCUAUGAGUUGUAAACUGCUUUUGUAUAGGGGUAAAACUAUCCACGUGUGGAUAGCUGCAAGUACUAUACGAAUAAGGAUCGGCUAACUCCGUGCCAGCAGCCGCGGUAAUACGGAGGAUUCGAGCGUUAUCCGGAUUUAUUGGGUUUAAAGGGUGCGUAGGCGGUUAGAUAAGUUAGAGGUUAAAUAUUAGGGCUCAACCCUGGUCUGCCUCUAAUACUGUUUGACUAGAGAUUAGUUGCUGUGGGCGGAAUGAGUAGUGUAGCGGUGAAAUGCUUAGAUAUUACUCAGAACACCGAUUGCGAAGGCAGCUCACAAAACUAUAUCUGACGUUGAGGCACGAAAGCGUGGGUAGCGAACAGGAUUAGAUACCCUGGUAGUCCACGCAGUAAACGAUGAUAACUCGUUGUCGGCGAUAUGAUAGUCGGUGACUAA